rnacentral:rRNA from 1 species
ACGAACGCUGGCGGCGUGCUUAACACAUGCAAGUCGAACGGUGAAGCGCCUUCCUUUUUGGUGGGUGUGGAUGAGUGGCGAACGGGUGAGUAACACGUGAGUAACCUGCCCCCUUCUUCUGGAUAACCGCAUGAAAGUGUGGCUAAUACAGGAUAUUCUGGGUCUGUCGCAUGAUGGGUCUGGGAAAGAUAUUGUUUCGGUGGGGGAUGGGCUCGCGGCCUAUCAGCUUGUUGGUGGGGUGAUGGCCUACCAAGGCGGUGACGGGUAGCCGGCCUGAGAGGGUGGACGGUCACACUGGGACUGAGACACGGCCCAGACUCCGACGGGAGGCAGCAGUGGGGAAUAUUGCACAAUGGGCGCAAGCCUGAUGCAGCGACGCCGCGUGAGGGAUGGAGGCCGUCGGGUUGUGAACCUCUUUCGCCAGUGAAGCAGGCCUGCCUCGUUUGUGGGUGGGUUGACGGUAGCUGGAUAAGAAGCGCCGGCUAACUACGUG